UACGUAGGGGGCUAGCGUUGUCCGGAUUUAUUGGGCGUAAAGAGCUCGUAGGUGGUUCGGUAAGUCGGAUGUGAAAUCUCCAGGCUCAACCUGGAGGGGUCAUUCGAUACUGCCGUGACUAGAGUUCGGUAGAGGAGCGUGGAAUUCCUGGUGGAGCGGUGAAAUGCGCAGAGAUCAGGAGGAACACCGAUGGCGAAGGCAGAUCUCUGGGCCGUAACUGACGCUGAGGAGCGAAAGCGUGGGGAGCGAACAGG
rnacentral:rRNA from 1 species